rnacentral:rRNA from 1 species
UUAUUUUAGACUUAAAUGUUUAAUUACCUGAAUAUUAAUAGUUAUUUUCUUGAAACUCUAAGAAUUUGGCGGUAAUAUAUUUUUUUAGAGGAACCUGUUUUUUAAUCGAUGAACCACGAUACUUUCUACCUUUUAUAUUUAUUUGUAUACCUCUAUUUAGAAUGUUUUUUUAGGAUAAUUUUCUUUUUCUUUAUAAGUUUAAUUUUAGGUCAAGGUGCAGUUUUUUUUAGGUAAACAUGGGUUAUUUUUUUAAUAAACAACUAGUUAAGUUGUUUUGAAUUUGGAUUUAACAGUAAAUUUAAUUAAUUAAUUAUUUUGAAUAUUUUUUUAUAUUAUGUACAUAUCGCCCGUCACUCUCACAAUAA